GAUAGAGAGGAGAGGCGGCGGAGAUAACUGCCGAGAAAGUGGAAGAGAGUUUGCCAAGAGGAGGAGAGAGAGCGUAGGGAGAAGUGACAGAGCAAUGUAGUGACAGAAGAAGCAAAAAGUGGUGAGACAAAGACACGAGGGUGAAGGAACAAAAAAAAAAAAAAAGGAUCUACAGGAGGCAGAGAAGAAGACGAAGAACCUGGUCAGAGAGAGAGAGAACAGCGAGACAGAAUGAGACCCAGGAGCAUGCUACGCCUUCGCACUGCUGCUGUUGCUCAGUAAAGAUCCUGUACCUGCAAGAGCUAAGAAAACAUGUUCUGACACAUGUUCAGAACAUUUGGCUUCCAGCUGUUCACGAUGAGCCAGUUACUGCGACGUCUACAAGUAAAACCCGAACAGGAACAAGCAUUUCUCAUGUCUGUUACAACACAACACACAGCUGCACGUGUCAGACUCUUCGGGAGGAGGCGCUGGGGAGUGGAGAGGGUGGUCUUUGUUUACCUGCUGGAUUUGUUGCAGCUGCAACCUGACCAGGAAUAAUAGAUAAAUGUACAAAUGGAUGUACAGGUGCUGGUCAUAAAAUUAGAAUAUCAUGAAAAAG